UUAUACCAAGAUAAAAGGUGAAAUCGCAUGACUUUGCUGCAAGGGAAACAUAUGUUUUUUGAGGGCUGUGACCUAAACUUCACCACUAUCUAAGCAAGCUCUCUCUCUCUCUCUCUCUCUCUCUUAUUUCUCUUCUCACCCAACAUGAGCUACACCGACUGCUUCAAUUCUCCAUAUGGGGUGGCUGCAUUCUCUCCUCUCUCCAUUAAACAAGCUUUGGAUCCAUCUGCACUCACCUCAUAAUAAGAGAAGAGGGAUAUAUAUCCUAUAUGAGGAUGUCAAGUCCUGUCCAUACGAAGAUGUUCAUGUGCUUUGGUCCAUACUGGUGGAGUCGCACCAACCAUCCAGAUGAGGCUUAAAUAUUUCAUCAUCACCAUGUAAAUAUGUGAUUGUAAUUUCUACAAGUUUCAACCUUUUACUUAUUUCCUGAGUUUCAAUCUGCAUUGAGUGAGGCCGGCCACCAUAGGAAUCCUCUUAAAUUAUACGGAGUAACACCUUACUUUUUUCAA